GACGAACGCUGGCGGCGUGCUUAACACAUGCCGGUCGAACGGAAAGGCCCUGCUUUUGUGGGGUGCUCGAGUGGCGAACGGGUGAGUAACACGUGAGUAACCUGCCCUUGACUUUGGGAUAACUUCAGGAAACUGGGGCUAAUACCGGAUAGGAGCUCCUGCUGCAUGGUGGGGGUUGGAAAGUUUCGGCGGUUGGGGAUGGACUCGCGGCUUAUCAGCUUGUUGGUGGGGUAGUGGCUUACCAAGGCUUUGACGGGUAGCCGGCCUGAGAGGGUGACCGGCCACAUUGGGACUGAGAUACGGCCCAGACUCCUACGGGAGGCAGCAGUGGGGAAUAUUGCACAAUGGGCGGAAGCCUGAUGCAGCAACGCCGCGUGCGGGAUGACGGCCUUCGGGUUGUAAACCGCUUUCGCCUGUGACGAAGCGUGAGUGACGGUAAUGGGUAAAGAAGCACCGGCUAACUACGUG
rnacentral:rRNA from 1 species